rnacentral:rRNA from 1 species
AUACAGAGGGUGCGAGCGUUAAUCGGAAUUACUGGGCGUAAAGCGCGCGUAGGCGGCUUGGUCAGUCGGAUGUGAAAGCCCCGGGCUCAACCUGGGAAUGGCAUUCGAUACUGCCAGGCUAGAGUAUGGGAGAGGGAAGUGGAAUUUCCGGUGUAGCGGUGAAAUGCGUAGAUAUCGGAAGGAACACCAGUGGCGAAGGCGACUUCCUGGCCCAAUACUGACGCUGAGGUGCGAAAGCGUGGGGAGCGAACAGAAUUAGAAACCCUAGUAGUCC